rnacentral:rRNA from 1 species
UACCAGCACCCCGAGUGGUCGGGACGUUUAUUGGGCCUAAAGCAUCCGUAGCCGGUUCUACAAGUCUUCCGUUAAAUCCGACUGCUUAACAGGUGGGCUGCGGAAGAUACUAUAGAGCUAGGAGGCGGGAGAGGCAAGCGGUACUCGAUGGGUAGGGGUAAAAUCCGUUGAUCCAUUGAAGACCACCAGUGGCGAAGGCGGCUUGCCAGAACGCGUUCGACGGUGAGGGAUGAAAGCUGGGGGAGCAAACCGG